GACACGAAUCGGAAUGAAAGUGGUUGCGCUUUUUAGAACAGAUUCCGCCUGUUUCAAAAUUAUUGAGGGAGACAUCCGCUUUGCGGUGAAACGAGUUCCGUUUCACAGUUGGUAAAUGCCGGGUGCCCGAAUUUCUUUCUGCGAUGCAGGCCUCUACAUCAAUGUUCCCAGUCACGUAUCGUUUGGCGAGCUUUAAUCUUUGAAAUAUACAGAACGCUCCACUGAGACAAAAGGAAAUUGCUCUUGGAAUUGCAUCAUCGGGCAUUACCUCGGCCAAAUCUGCAAUGCACGCUAGUGUUCGGAAUGGCGUUGAAAUUCGAAAAAUAACUGAAAAGCAGACAAUGAGAUAGAGGGUAGCGAUCACGGACAAAUGACCGGAAAUUCUUACUGAUCGUAUCUGUGAUUCUCGUUCUCCUUCUUCGUCGAAUGCAAUGAUCGUUUAAAAUCCAGAUCGUCUGACCAUAGCUGGUUCUUCGUUAAUUACAACGGGUUAACGACCGUCGACUUCAUACUCCACGGCGAAGAAGUAUGUCGUCGGGAUUUCUUAACACACGGCAACGCCUGGUAACGUUCACGGUUAAUGUGUUAU